ACAGGUGAAAAUUCUGCUCAUUGGUCAAUCUGGAUCAUUGUUUUAGUGACAGCUGGAGUGAUUUUCAUCGUCUUAGCUGUUCCAGCUGUGAUUUACAGCAGGAGGUGCGUCCACACUGAGCAGCUGAAGGAGGACGAUUCAGACAUUUACACCACAGUACAGUACAAUACAUUCACCAUGAACUGAUCACACUUUCACUCCUCAGUUACUUCAUUCCAGACUUCUGCAUGUCAAUUUCCCCUGAGAGCAGAAAGCAAAAACACAUGAGCUCCUUAUUUCUCCAUAGCAAUUUCAUAAACUAUCAUGGAGCGAUCUAUAAGGAAUUAAUAAACCUGUGUGUGUGUGUGUGUGUGUGUGUGUGUGUGUGUGUGUGUGUGUUGUGCUGAUAUAGUAAAAUACAGAUUGACAGGGUAGUGUGAUGAAGAGGAGUUACUGUUACCACCCUGAAGUUGAUUAUAUUCCUAUAACAGCACGACCCACAAGUGUUUUUGUGACAGAGUGAAAUAUAUGUUCGUAUCAUUAUAUUGAGAUUCAUAAAUCUGUAAAACAUUGAAAGAAUUCUGUAUUCAGGCUAUUUCAAAUCCAUUUAAAAAGGUUCAUCAAAUGUAAAUAUGUUAUUUAAGCAGUUUUGGUUAAUCUGGGAUCAAUUAGUUCAAUUAGUUCAAUCCAACAAGUUGUGCAAUUACUGCUGCCUGCCAAACACUAGGGGGAGAACCUGCAGUGUUUCUCCAUCAUGCAUAAAGUUCGCAGUGGAGAAGCAUCGUGAAGUGUGACUGAUUAAUUCGCUCCCCUUUUUCAGGUAUGCCUUUUAAUUAUUCGUUAAAAUGGUGUGAGUUGAUGUUUAAGGGUAUGCAGAUGCCAGUAUUAUAGAGAGUAAAUGUUGAUUGAAAUGCUUAAAGAUGUGAUUAGUUCGGUGAUGCAGGGGUCUGGGCGGCGCAGGGCCCAUGUAAUGGCGCGAGGCCAUAUGGUGAGCAAUGAGUCGUACAUAUUUAGAUUGAAUGUUAGUAACGAGCACUUAAUUCUGCUUGCAGAGUGUUCAAUGUUUGAUUCAUAUAUUGUUUCAGACACCUAAGCAAUUUUAGAAAUAUUAAUUACUUGGAAGGAAUAUAUGUGUUAAUGGUUUGUACUAGUUUAUAGAUGUGUCUUGCAGUUAGGUUUUCAGACAAUUCUGAAAUGCCAUGAAAUGUAUUAAUUCAUUGAGAUAUUGUUGACUAGAAGUAACUGAAGGUUACAUCUCAUUAACAGUUUAUGUUACCGAUUGUGAAUUAAGAAAAAAAAGGCAAGCAACGCUGUUUUGUGCAAUUGUUUAUUGUUAACUGUUAUCAAGAGAUUAUGCAUAAAGUUCGCAGUGGAGAA